GACAAUACGUCAUCCUAAACGUUCAUAAAAC
rnacentral:tRNA from 1 species